UACGUAGGGUGCGAGCGUUAAUCGGAAUUACUGGGCGUAAAGCGUGCGCAGGCGGUUCGUGAUGUCUGGUGUGAAAGCCCCGGGCUUAACCUGGGAAUUGCAUUGGAAACUAGCGGGCUGGAGUGUGGCAGAGGGGGGUGGAAUUCCACGUGUAGCAGUGAAAUGCGUAGAGAUGUGGAGGAACACCGAUGGCGAAGGCAGUCCCCUGGGCCUGUACUGACGCUCAUGCACGAAAGCGUGGGGAGCAAACAGG
rnacentral:rRNA from 1 species